GCCUAACGGCCAACUGGUGCGGUAAAAUUUCUCACGCGAAAGAGUUUACCGCAAAGAUAACCAGACGCGGGUCAGAUUCUAGGAACUGAGAGUACGGUUAAAAAGACAUCUCUUGGGACGUAACCUGGACUAAUUGACUCAAGUCUGUGAGUGGAUUUCAGGAAUAUGCAUUUCAGCAAGCUCUUCAGAGGAAAAUUCAUGUGAAAGCAAGUGGCCAUGUGACCUGGAAGAGAGCUUUUAUCAGAAACUGACCUGUACCAAACCUUGAUCUUGGACUUCCCGGUUUCCAGAACUGAGAGAAUUAUUGAAGUCACCCAGUUUAUGGGUCGUUGUUGCCAUCUAUGAGCCCAAGAAGGUAAGAAUGCCUGAGGCCCAGGAAAGUCACAAUGCAGCCCUGAGAACAUGGUGGAUGUUUUCUUGAAAAGGAAUGAAAUGAACUUGUCACUUCAAGAAAAGUAACGGUGAUGUUAUGUUGCCAAUGAUAAAUUUGAACUUUCAACCAAAAAUUACAGUAUUGGGAAAUUUUUAUCUGCCACCAUGAACUUGGAAACUUCUCAGUACUUAAAAACCUCUGCUGAUAUCCAGGAUAUCAGAAAUGUGGUUUUCUGAUUAUACCAUGAAAGGAGUUCACAUUUGGAAGAUUAGGAGAUCUGUAUAACUCAGUGAACCACUAUUUUCCAAAACCCAGGAGACCUACCGAGGAACAUACACUCGCGUGACACAAACCAAUGAGUGAGUAUAUCAAAUCAUGCACUGCUAAAAGGUCCAUCAAAAUAAUGGAUAAAAAUUAAGAUAGAUU
ensembl:lncRNA